rnacentral:rRNA from 1 species
GGGGAAUCUUAGACAAUGGGGGAAACCCUGAUCUAGCCAUGCCGCGUGAGCGAUGAAGGCCUUAGGGUUGUAAAGCUCUUUCAGCUGGGAAGAUAAUGACGGUACCAGCAGAAGAAGCCCCGGCUAACUCCGUGCCAGCAGCCGCGGUAAUACGGAGGGGGCUAGCGUUGUUCGGAAUUACUGGGCGUAAAGCGCACGUAGGCGGAUCGGAAAGUUGGGGGUGAAAUCCCGGGGCUCAACCCCGGAACUGCCUUCAAAACUAUCGGUCUUGAGUUCGAGAGAGGUGAGUGGAAUUCCGAGUGUAGAGGUGAAAUUCGUAGAUAUUCGGAGGAACACCAGUGGCGAAGGCGGCUCACUGGCUCGAUACUGACGCUGAGGUGCGAAAGCGUGGGGAGCAAAC